UUAAAAAAAGAACUUGCGGUAAGUCUGUUUUUAUAUUGUAAGACAACUUAAAUGUGGAUGAAUUGCACAAGAAAAGGCUAACAUUUUUCAAACUUAACAAAAAUAAUGUUUAUUUGAAAAAUAUUUGAGAUUCAAAGAUUAUGAGCCCAGUUACGUCAAAAAAUAAAUCCUGAAGAAAUGGAAUCCCCACGAGGUCUUCUAUUCGAAUACCUUGAAAUAAAUUUGUUCUUUUGCGAGCAAUACACACGCAUACAAAACGCAGAGUGCAGACCCCUAAACCCCCUAAGGAUUUCGGAAAUUUCACAGGCGCGUUUUUUCGUUUGGUGGAGAAGGUAACUGAGGAUGUCGAUCGAUAGUUCUUGGGAUAUCGAGCAAUAUCGAAAUGAACAUGAGCCACCCGAACAUUGGGAGCUAUGUAAGAACUUCAUACUGGCACACAAGAAGGACUUUCCAGAAGAAAAACUUAUUUGUUUGGCUCAAGUUUUUGCAAACAUGGAGUUUCUUGGAUGCAGAUACCCACAGGAGACCAUGGACUUGGUGAAUGAGCUGGCUGCCGGUGUGGUAGAGGACUUCCGAGAGCAGAGGAAGUCAAAGAUACAGCGCACAUUCAUUGGCGCCGCGUCGGCCGCAGAAGCCAAGGUGAAGCGGAGCAAAACACUGCCGCCACCGCAACACAUCAAAUGACGAACCGCCGGUAUCGAACAACGCUGUUUCCUGGGAGCCGGGCUCGGAGGGAUUGGAGUGUAGAUGUGAGUGCUAUUUUAUGUCGGGACUCUGAAUCUGAUGUCUGGGUAACCGCCUACUCGCAGCCCGCAGGAGGCCGUCACUGGCUCGUGGAGCUCCCGUUCAAGAUCAACUUGUGCUCCAGGUUUUGAUGUGUUUUGUCGGUCGCUUCAAUCGCGUGACGUUCCUGUCACCAUAUAGGCAUAUAGAUACUUUAUAAUGUGUCUCAUGCGUCACACAUUUUCACACUGUAUUUAACAAAUACAUGCCAUACAUUUCG